AGCGAACGUUAGCGGCGGGCCUAACACAUGCAAGUCGAGCGAGAAAGUGGCUUCGGCCAUCAGUAAAGCGGCGGACGGGUGAGUAACACGUAGGUAAUUUUCCUUCCAGCGGGGGACGAACGUUACCGUAACGGGAACGGCUAAUAACGCCGUACGUUUCUUCGGGACGUCCGGUCCGUCGAGAAGGAAAGGACUAGGUAGGCAAUAAUCCGG
rnacentral:rRNA from 1 species